rnacentral:rRNA from 1 species
GAUGAACGCUGGCGGCAUGCCUUAUACAUGCAAGUCGUGCGAGAAGUUACCUUCGGGUAGUGGAAAGCGGCGGACGGGUGAGUAACGCGUAGAAACAUACCCCAGAGUGAGGAAUAAGCAUCGGAAACGGUGUUUAAUACCGCAUAACGUCUACGGACAAAAGAUUUAUCGCUUUGGGAAUGGUCUGCGUCUGAUUAGCUAGUUGGUGAAGUAAAAGCUCACCAAGGCGAUGAUCAGUAGCUGGUUUGAGAGGAUGAUCAGCCACACUGGGACUGAGACACGGCCCAGACUCCUACGGGAGGCAGCAGUAGGGAAUUUUCCACAAUGGGCGAAAGCCUGAUGGAGCAAUGCCGCGUGCAGGAUGAAGGACCUAGGUUCGUAAACUGCUUUUAUAACUGAAGAUUAUGACGGUAAGUUAUGAAUAAGGAUCGGCUAACUACGUG